AUAUCACUAAGCGCAGGAAAAGAAACUAACUAGGAUUCCCUUAGUAACGGCGAGUGAAGCGGGAAGAGCUCAACUUUAAAAUCUGGGCGCAAGCUCCGAAUUGUAGUUUAGAGAGGCGUUUUCGGCGACGGCUCCGGUAUAAAUCCUUUGGAACAGGGUAUCAUAGAGGGUGAGAAUCCCGUCUUUGACCGGAGAGCAAAAAUGUUGCUAUGUGAUACGCUUUCAACGAGUCGGGUUGUUUGGGACUACAGCUCAAAAUGGGUGGUAAAUUUCAUCUAAAGCUAAAUAUUGGCCAGAGACCGAUAGCGCACAAGUA
rnacentral:rRNA from 1 species